CACUAACGGGACAGGCAGAUGAAGAGGAGCCAUGAGGAAGACUAAAGAGGAAUAAUACUAAUGAGGAGAAGCAAGGCAGUUCAGUGUCAUAGAAGCCAAAAAAAAAAAAAAUGGAGACGUCAAGAGGGACAUUAAGAUCAGAAAAGAGAACAAGAGAAGAUGGCUGGAUGGUUGCCGGACACCAGAGAUGAAGAAAUUGAACCUCUACCUCAAGAAAUGAGAGGAAUACUGAGAACAUCAGACCCAAAGAUUUGAUGUAUGGUUCAAAUUCAUGAUCUAUCUUCUCCAAGUGUUGGCUUUCUCCUCUCUGAUGAUGACCUACUAUGUACAUUCUGAAUGUCUAUGGAGUUAACUAACUUACUUCUCCAAGUAUUUGGCUCAGCCUGAGGAUCCCUUACUCUGCCUGGGGAGACAACUUUUCUGUCUGGCAACAUUCAUCCCUUCAGUCACGAUAUCGGAGUUCCUGAGCCCUGCCCCAUGUGCAUGAGGGCUGACCAGUGAGGAAGCAGUAGAGUGAAU